rnacentral:miRNA from 1 species
UCUAUUAGGUUAGGGCAAAAGUAAUUGCGGUUUUUGCCAUUACUGUUAAUUGCUGGCAACAAUCACAAUUACUUUUGCACCAACUUAAUA